GCGCGCUUAGCUCAGUUGGUAGAGCAUCGUCUUGACGUGACGAGGGUCGCAGGUUCGAGUCCUGCAGCGCGCA
rnacentral:tRNA from 1 species